GGAGAGGUGCCGGAGCGGCCGAUCGGGCGGCAUUGGAAAUGCCGUGUGCCCUUACGGGUACCGCGGGUUCGAAUCCCGCCCUCUCCG
rnacentral:tRNA from 1 species